rnacentral:rRNA from 1 species
AGUUUGAUCCUGGCUCAGAACGAACGCUGGCGGCAGGCUUAACACAUGCAAGUCGAACGCCCCGCAAGGGGAGUGGCAGACGGGUGAGUAACGCGUGGGAAUCUACCGUGCCCUGCGGAAUAGCUCCGGGAAACUGGAAUUAAUACCGCAUACGCCCUACGGGGGAAAGAUUUAUCGGGGAUGGAUGAGCCCGCGUUGGAUUAGCUAGUUGGUGGGGUAAAGGCCUACCAAGGCGACGAUCCAUAGCUGGUCUGAGAGGAUGAUCAGCCACAUUGGGACUGAGACACGGCCCAAACUCCUACGGGAGGCAGCAGUGGGGAAUAUUGGACAAUGGGCGCAAGCCUGAUCCAGCCAUGCCGCGUGAGUGAUGAAGGCCUUAGGGUUGUAAAGCUCUUUCACCGGUGAAGAUAAUGACGGUAACCGGAGAAGAAGCCCCGGCUAACUUCGUGCCAGCAGCCGCGGUAA